AUGAUGGACUAUAGGACAGGACUGCUGCUUUUUACUGUCUGCUGGGCAGGUGUUGAUGGUCAGACUCUGACAGAAUCUGAAGCAGUGGUUAAAAGGCCUGGAGAAUCCCACAGACUGACCUGUUCAGCCUCUGGAUUCACAUUCAGCAGCUACCCUAUGAACUGGGUCAGACAGGUUCCUGGAAAAGGACUGGAGUGGAUCGCUUAUAUUAGUAGCAGUGGUGGUAGCCAAUACUACUCUAAUUCAGUCAAAAGCCGGUUCACCAUCUCCAGAGACAACAGCAGACAGCAGCUGUAUCUGCAGAUGAACAGUCUGAAGACUGAAGACACUGCUGUUUAUUAUUGUGCC